AGCCAGAUAGUGUAAGAGAUAACAUAGUAAGUUGUAAACUUAAAGAUAAAGUUCAUUCUGGUUA
rnacentral:tRNA from 1 species